GACGAACGCUGGCGGCGUGCUUAACACAUGCAAGUCGAACGGUAAGGCCCUUCGGGGUACACGAGUGGCGAACGGGUGAGUAACGCGUGGGUGAUCUGCCCUGCACUUCGGGAUAAGCCUGGGAAACUGGGUCUAAUACCGGAUAGGACCACUGCCUGCAUGGGUGGUGGUGGAAAGCUUUUGCGGUGUGGGAUGGGCCCGCGGCCUAUCAGCUUGUUGGUGGGGUGAUGGCCUACCAAGGCGACGACGGGUAGCCGGUCUGAGAGGGUGACCGGCCACACUGGGACUGAGAUACGGCCCAGACUCCUACGGGAGGCAGCAGUGGGGAAUAUUGCACAAUGGGCGCAAGCCUGAUGCAGCGACGCCGCGUGAGGGAUGACGGCCUUCGGGUUGUAAACCUCUUUCAGCACCGACGAAGCGCAAGUGACGGUAGGUGCAGAAGAAGGACCGGCCAACUACGUGCCAGCAGCCGCGGUAA
rnacentral:rRNA from 1 species